UACGUAGGGUGCGAGCGUUGUCCGGAAUUAUUGGGCGUAAAGGGCUCGUAGGCGGUCUGUCACGUCGGGAGUGAAAACACGGGGCUUAACCCCGUGCCUGCUUCCGAUACGGGCAGACUAGAGGUAUGCAGGGGAGAACGGAAUUCCUGGUGUAGCGGUGAAAUGCGCAGAGAUCAGGAGGAACACCGGUGGCGAAGGCGGUUCUCUGGGCAUUACCUGACGCUGAGGAGCGAAAGUGUGGGGAGCGAACAGG
rnacentral:rRNA from 1 species